UACGAAGGGGGCUAGCGUUGUUCGGAAUUACUGGGCGUAAAGCGCACGUAGGCGGAUUGUUAAGUCAGAGGUGAAAUCCCGGAGCUCAACUUCGGAACUGCCUUUGAUACUGGCAAUCUAGAGUCCGGAAGAGGUUAGUGGAAUUCCCAGUGUAGAGGUGAAAUUCGUAGAUAUUGGGAAGAACACCAGUGGCGAAGGCGGCUAACUGGUCCGGUACUGACGCUGAGGUGCGAAAGCGUGGGUAGCGAACAGG
rnacentral:rRNA from 1 species